rnacentral:lncRNA from 1 species
ACUCCCUCCGUCCCAUUGGAUUGUAUACAGUUUCCUUUUUGGGACGUCCCACCAAUUGUAUACAUACCAAAAAUACAUACUUAGGAUGUGUAAUUCUGCGGUUAAUUUGAAAAAAUAUCGACGAGGAUAUUAAGCAUACAUCUACAUAGAAUUAAUAGUUAGCAUAGUGUUCAUAUCUGGAACAGUAUCUUUAAUUUAUCCUAACUAUCCAGCAGAAAGGCAUGUAGAUAAAAAUCAAAGCAAGUACUCACCUUUGAAAGGAACCUCUGCUAACUCAAUGAGCCUUGGGAGACAGAAAAAGGCCCAUUGAGCACAAGGGCUGAUUGUCGGAAAAUACACAAGUGGAAUCCCAGCAUCCUUAGCUAGAUCAGCAGCAAAACUGUAAAACCCAUCUGAUAUUAUGAAAGACACCGGCUUGGUUGACUUAGAACUGAGGCUUCCAUUUGUCAACAUCUCUAUGAAAAGCGGCCUCAUUACUUCCUCUAUACCAUUAGUAAUAUCCACAAACUUAUCAGCCGUCCGUAACAGCUAUAACAGCUAGUGCAAUCCCUGUAAUCAUGGAACUGACUAUAGCAAUACGUGUGCAUAUCUUAAGCAUUUAAUUAUGUAACAUUUUUAGAGUCUGGAUCCACAAUCAGUGGAGUGCUUCUAGCAAUAGACUCUUAACUUCUUGUAUAUAUAUUUACACUCAGGCAUGAGCAAUGAAAUAACAAAAAGACACAAUUCCUUUAUGGUAUCAGAGCCUAAAGCUUAACUGCAUCCGGUCCUUAUUCUCCUUUCUUUUCUGCUUUACACCAUCAACUACAAAACACUACCUACACUAAUAUGUCUGGUUCAUCUGAUCUUAUCCCAGUGCACACUUCAACGCAUUUUCCCACGAUGCUAUCCCAAAAUAAUUUUGCAGUCUGGCGCACACAGAUCAUGUCAGUCCUCACAGGUCUCGGACUCCUUGGCUAUAUCGACGGCACUGUCUCUGCACCAUCUCAAUUCUUAACAGCAGACAAACCCAACCCAGCCUUUAUCACUUGGAAUCGUCAAGACAAAUACAUACUAGGUGCCUUAUUGGGAAGCUGCCAUGAAACCAUCCAACCCUUAAUCUCUACUGCCAACACAGCCAAACAAAUGUGGGAUCAGUUAGUUACUCUUUUCGCUAACAAAUCACGUUCUCGCAUCAUGUCACUCAAAACUCAUCUCAUGAACAAUCCAUGCAACGCCCGCAAUAUGUCUGACUAUUUACGUGACAUCAGAAUCACAGCUGAUGAAUUAGCAAUUGCUGGACAACCUGUAUCGGAUGAUGAUCUUGUUAUUCUCACUCUGUCUGGAUUGGGGGAUGAAUAUCGAAACAUUAAGGAUGCUAUGUCUGUUCGGGAAGCCCCGUUAACAUUUGGUGCCUUACAUGAACAAUUAAUUGAUUAUGAACGAGGACUCAAGUCUAAAGCAUCAGAACCAGUGAUUGUCACAGCAAACUACACACACAAGCCUCUCAACCAUAAUCGCAGUACACAAUCUGCGCAACGGGGUAGAGGAAACUACAAUCCCAAUCGAUAUCAACAGCAGUCUUUUAAUCGACAACAUGGAACUUCACCAACAUAUGUCUCUGGGAAUCGUCCUUAUUGUCGCUUCUGUCAACGUUCAGGGCAUGACACUAAAGAGUGUCGUCAAUUAUCUCGCUUUCUUAAGGACAAUGGCAUCCAAACUCCAUCAAGUGUACCAAGAGUUUCACCAUCAGUUAAUGCUACAUCAACUCAUAGCUCUCAACCACAACAAUGGCUCUUUGACACAGGGGCUUCUCACCAUAUCACCAAUGAUCCAGCCAAUUUAACUACGUAUUCGGAUUAUGGUGGUCCAGAUGAAAUACUUCUUGGAAAUGGUUCAGGUUUGCCAAUUACACACACAGGCACCUCACAGUUAGUUACACCUAAAAAAUCACUCAAGCUUUCCAAUGUUCUUUGUGUCCCUUCUCUACAAAAAAAUCUUGUCUCUGUCGCAAAGUUCUGCUUGAAUAAUCAUGUGUCUGUUGAAUUCUUUCCAUCGCAGUUUCUAGUCAAGGAUCUCAAUACGGGGGCGAUCCUACUCUGCGGAGAGAACAAAAAUGAUGUAUACUAUACAUCACACCAGUCCAUUCCUCAAGUCCAUGCUACUGAAUGUUCCAGUCUUGCUUCAUGGCAUCAUCGUCUCGGGCAUCCUCAUACCAAGAUUUUCCGAUGCAUGUUGGAGUCGAAUAAACUAGUUUCCAAUAUUCCUUCUGAUUUUUCUUUAAGUUGUCACUCUUAUCUUUGUAAUAAAAGUCGAAAGCUUCCUUUUGGAGUUUCUUCCAUGUCAAGCUCGAAACCUCUUGAUUUAAUAUAUUCCGAUGUUUGGGGACCUACGAUCACUUCCUCUGAUGGGUAUCGUUAUUAUGUUAUUUUUGUUGAUCAUUUCACUCGCUAUAUAUGGUUGUAUCCUCUUAAAAACAAAUCAGAUGUGAAAGAUACUUUUAUCCUGUUCAAGAAUAUCGUGGAAAAGUUUUUUCGACGAUCAAUCAUCUCUUUAUAUUCUGAUAAUGGUGGAGAAUAUAUUGCCCUGAAAUCAUUCCUCCAAGCAAAUGGUAUUUCUCAUUUUACAUCUCCUCCUCAUACACCCGAGCAUAAUGGUUUUGCUGAAAGAAGGCAUGGCCAUAUUGUUCAAACUGGUCGUACACUAAUGCACCAUGCCAAUCUUCCUCUAAAAUAUUGGUCCUAUGCUUUUGAGACAGCAGUGUAUUUAAUAAAUCGGAUGCCCACAAAAACAGCUCCACAUAUGUCCCCCUUUGAGUCUUUGUUUAAUAAAAAACCAAACUACAGUAGACUUAAAAUAUUUGGUUGUACUUGUUACCCCUGGUUAAAACCAUACUCUUCCUCCAAAUUAGAUCCAAAUUCCACUCCCUGUGUGUUUUUAGGUUAUUCCACUUCAAAGUCAGCUUAUAGAUGUCUUGACCUGUCUCAUAAUAAGAUAUAUUUUUCCCGUCAUGUGCGCUUUGUGGAAAAUAAAUUCUUAUUUCAGGUUCCUCCUCCGCAGUCCUCAUCAGCCCCUGCUAUUGUGGAUCCUCCAGGUACUUCUCCGACCUCUUUGUCAUUUUCAUCACCAUCUAAUGUGUCGAUGCCACCUCAGGUACCACCCUCGAUUGUUCAACCACCACCUAGUCUCUCAGCAUCUCACACUCCGGAGAACCCCUCUGUCCAGACUCCACAUGUUCCACCAAGUUCUUCACCCUCCUAUUCCACUGAUGCUCCAUCUCCAUCCAUCUCAAGUGAUUCAAGCUCCACCACAGACACUACACAAUCUACACCAGACACUACACAAUCUAUACCAGACACUACCAUCCAUCGUCCCGGUCGCAAUCGUGUGCCUAAUCCAAAAUACUACAACUCAUCCUUCGUUAAUCACACAACCAUGCACCCUUUAACUCCUUCAUUGGAACCCUCAUCAGUUACUCAGGCCUUAAAAGACCCUCACUGGAGACAAGCUAUGUCUUCCGAAUUUGAUGCAUUGAUUCAAAAUGGAACAUGGGAGCUCGUUCCAAAAACAACUCAGCAUGUUAUCUCUUGCAAGUGGGUGUUUCGUGUAAAAAGAAAUCCGGAUGGCUCUAUCAAUAAAUAUAAAGCUCGCCUUGUUGCCAAGGGCUUUCAACAAAGGCAAGGAAUCGACUUUUGUGAAACUUUUAGCCCUGUAACAAAGCCGGCAACGAUCCGCAUUGUGUUGAGCCUUGCCCUUACCAAUGGUUGGCCCCUAAGACAGUUGGACAUCAACAAUGCGUUUUUGAACGGAAAUCUGAAAGAAGAAGUUUACAUGGUUCAACCACCUGGCUUUCUUCAUCCAAACUUUCAGAAUUAUGUUUGUCGAUUACGCAAAACCAUUUAUGGAUUACGCCAGGCUCCACGAGACUGGUACAUGGCUCUCAAAAAAUUUCUACUCCAAUUUGGUUUCAAAAACUCAGUUGCGGACACCUCACUGUUUAUUUACAAUCAGCAUGGUAUGAUUCUCAUAUUUCUCGUGUAUGUUGAUGAUAUAGUGCUAACCGGAAAUUGUAUGUCCUUUUUGAAUACUUUUGUAUCUCAACUAGACAAGCAAUUCUCUUUAAAGGACUUGGGGGAUCUACAUCACUUUCUCGGUGUCGAAGUAAUCUCUCUGCCAUCUGGCCUAUUCUUGUCACAAGCAAAACACAUAUCUGAUUUACUUACCAAGUAUAGGUUGGACGGUGCCAAAGAAACAUUGACCCCUAUGUCAUCUUCCACAUCUCUUAUUUUAGAAGAUGGCAGCCAAAGAAUUGACCCAACUCCAUACCGACAGCUUGUAGGUAGCCUACAGUAUCUCUCUAUUACGAGACCUGACAUUUGUUAUGCUGUCAACCGUCUGUCUCAAUUUAUGCAUGCUCCUUCGGUAACUCAUUGGUCUGCUCUUAAGCGUGUGCUGCGUUAUCUGAAAGGCACAAUCCAUUUUGGCCUAUUUUUGAAUCGCAAUGCCAAGUUCAAUCUUUCAGCCUUCAGUGACUCAGAUUGGGGUGGUGACCGUGACACAGGCCGCUCAACUACUGGCUACAUCAUUUAUUUGGGUUCAAAUCCCAUCUCCUGGAAGUCUAGCAAACAAAAAUCAGUUUCGAGGUCCUCCUCCGAGGCAGAAUAUAAGGCUGUGGCUAAUGCAGCAUCAGAGGUACUGUGGAUCAACCAGUUGCUGCAAGAAUUAUCCAUACGGGCUUCUUCACCUCCCAUCAUUUAUUGUGAUAAUACAGGGGCUCAAUAUCUUAGUUCUAAUCCAGUUUUUCACUCCAGGAUGAAACAUAUAUCCCUCGAUUAUCAUUUUGUUCGUGAGCGUGUUGCAGAUGGUACAUUUAGUGUACGUCAUGUUCACACCAAAGAUCAGUGGGCAGAUAUACUAACCAAGCCACUACCGAAACAAAGUUACACACUCAUUCGCAACAAGCUGGGAGUCGCAAAUGGCGCCUCCAUCUUGCGGGGGCGUAACAGCUAUAACAGCUAGUGCAAUCCCUGUAAUCAUGGAACUGACUAUAGCAAUACGUGUGCAUAUCUUAAGCAUUUAAUUAUGUAACAUUUUUAGAGUCUGGAUCCACAAUCAGUGGAGUGCUUCUAGCAAUAGACUCUUAACUUCUUGUAUAUAUAUUUACACUCAGGCAUGAGCAAUGAAAUAACAAAAAGACACAAUUCCUUUAGUCCGCGGAUGCUGCUCUUGCAGGCCAUCUGGGAUAGUUUCAAAACGAAAUCCAGGAUAAUUUUCAAACCGAGAUUGGACAUGGGUGUGCUUGAGUAGGCAGUUUUGGAUGUAAUCUGUGUUGAGGAAGGUGACAUGGAGUCCAUUAAUAGCCAAAAGCUCAGCUAGUUUGAGCAUACAAUUAACUGGACCUUGCAAUGGUAAGGGAAAAAUGAGUACAUGAGGAGAUUUUACUUCAUCAUUUCCCAUCUUAGAUCUUGUUCUUCCAACUAUGUUCAGUUGUUAAUUAAACUACACUAGGGGUAUCUUUUCUUUUUCCUUGGAGGACCCCUGCUGAUGUUGAUAUCUUUAUCUGUAUUUAUAUGAAUUUUAUCAAACUUAUAUAUUAUGUAGAUAUAGGCUCGCGCUCAAGUGAAAACACUCUUAGUUUUAUAUGGAUUUUCUAGUUUUUGUUCACUAAUAUUACUUUUGGCACUUACAUGCUCCAUUGACUCCCAUGUCACAUGUUCACUUUUAUUCGCGGUAAACAUAUGCAUCGGGGUGAUGCUCUGAUAAUAAAGGCACAAGCAAACAAAUACCUCUGCAGUUUCGAAUUGCAUUCCAGAACUCACAAAUAACUGAGUCAUUUUCCUGGUACUUUAACCUUCCGCAGUUUAGAAUGCAUUCCGGAACUCACAAAUAACUGAAUCUUGCCUGGUACUUUGGCACUUUGCUGUACAUAUAUGAGCCAAGUGUCAUUUCUGUUUACUUCUUACUCAUUCGUAGUUCACUUCUUUAUCACUAAAAUGGUAGUGUGAGACUCAUAAAGCAUUAUGAUUCAGAUUCAUAUUGCACAUAUGCGUUUGUAUUAGUAGUAACCAUGACAAUAUCUUCGAAAAGAAUUUUAGUCACAAAAUCUUUAUUACAAGCUGAUGGUCUGAAAUCAUACUGAACAAUUGAUACAAGUAUGAAUAUAUCGCAGUUACUCAUGAGCUGGUGUACUCUUUGUCAUCACUCUAAUGUCUUCAACUAAGCGAUUAAAACUACAAUGGGCCGAUCCACUUUGGUCAGAAACACUCUGCCUAGCAAGUUCAGCCAUCUUGGAAGCAGAACUCUGAAAUUCAUCUUUCUUAUCCUCCAUAAUUUCCCUCACUGCCUUUUCAAUUGUAACUCUAUCACAAGUGUCUUUCAUAUCGAUUCCAACCCUCCAUACUUCUUGUACAAAUCUGCUGUUCACUUGUUGGUCGACGAAAUAAGGCCAACAAAUCAUUGGCACUCCCUCAACUAAACCCUCCAAAGUUGAGUUCCAACCACUGUGAGUCAAAAAUAAUCCAAUAGCAGGGUGUGCUAAAACUUCCUCUUGAAAUACCCAACUCACUAUACACCCCCUCUCCUUCGUAGCAUCAGAAAGUUCAGCCGGGAUUGCAUCAUUACCAUCUUUACCAGCAAUUGAUCCAGGUCUUUGGGGCCACAAAAACCGCUUUCCACUAUUUACUAUGCCAUGCCACAACUCCAUAAGCUGGUCUAUUGUCAUGACUGCAAGACUUCCAAUGCUAACAUAAAUCACCGAUUUUUGAGGCUGGGCGUCUAGCCAGGUCAUGCAGCUCUUGUCAUCUUCCCAUAGGCUAUUAGAAGAAUUGUCUUGUGAUGAGGCUUUCUGUGCUGAAAGCAAAAUAGACUUGUGGAGCACAUGGAGAGGACCUAUGGAAUAAGUUUUUGGACAUAUAGUGCUUAGUUGGGAAACAAUAGGCCCGUCUAUGUGUUCAGAUGUGUUAAGUAUCAUUCCUUCGGAUCGUGGGAAUUCUUUAACCUCCUGCAGAAUAAGUUGAACUAUACGUUGGUUUAGGUCACUUGUGCGGAAAAAGCUGGGCAGAUCACGGUACCUCAGAAAAUUCUCACAUCCGAGCACACCCUUAACCUUUCUGUCAUAAUCCUCUUCUGAAAUUAUUUGACAGUUUUGAAGAUUGCAUCAGUUUGAAAGCAAUGGUAGUUAACAAGUUUAAAUGUAAGACACUUAAAUUAAACUGAUUUACUAUAACAAAAAAGACUACUUGAUGGACUUAUCAAUCAAAAUACUUGCCAAAAUUUCACCUUUCAUAUUGAGUUUUUUUAAAAAAAAUUUGAAUUUCUGAAGGACCAAGUUGUUGCAUCUAGUAAAGACUAUAUAUGUUACGACAGGCUUAAGAACAUGAAUCAUCUUACAGGUACCUGGAAAUUACAUAGUUUUUGCAGAAUUUGUGAUGAAUAUCUGAAAACAAAUUAAGUUAAGUUAUGUAUUUACCUUUAAAAGGAACCUCUCCCAGCUCAAUGAGCCUUGGAAGACAGAAAAAUGUCCAAAGAGCACAAGGGCUGAUCGUGUCGAAAUAAAUAAGUGGAAUCCCAGCACCCUUAGCUACAUCAACAGCAAAACUGAAGAAUCCAUCUGCUAUCAUGCAAGUCACUGGCUUGCUUGACUUGAAACUAAGCUUUCCAUAAGUCAACAUCUCUUUCAGAAGUGGCUUCGAUACUUCCUCUAUACCAUUAGCAAUAUCAAUGAAUUUAUCACCUGUCCGCGGAUGGCCUUCGGGCAGGCCAUCCGGGACGGUUUCAAAGUUAAAUCCAGGAUAAUUUUGGAACCGGGACUGAAUAUUGGUGUUUUUGAGCAGGCAGUUGUGGAUGUAGUCUGUGUUGAGGAAGGUGACAGCAAGGUGGUUAAGAGCCAAAAGCUCGGCGAGUUUGAGCAUGCAAUUCACAGGUCCUUGUAGUGGCAAGGGGAAGAUGAGUACAUGGGGAGAUUCUGCUUCAUCCUUGCCCAUCUCAAAGGUUUUUCUUUCCACUAUGCUUAGUCAAUAUUGGUUAAGGUUUUUUCUAAAACCCCUUCCAUUCAUUUCUAUACAGUUUUUUCAUUAUUUGGCAUGCAUGUUUAUAAAAUAUAAUUUUUUAAUUUAUAUUUAAAAAGUUUUGUUUCUAAAUGAAAUUUAAAUAUUAAAUUUUUUUAUUCAUUAAAAACAAUUCAAAGUAAAUUAUAAAAUUAUAUUUUGUAUUUUAUAAAAAAAAUAGAAUACAUGUCGAGCCCUAACUCAAUCACAAAAUAUGUUUUAUUAUUUGUCCCAAGACAUUAAUUAUAUUACUUAAAGUUGUCCGGUUUUAUUUAAGUAUUAUUUUUGAAUCUUAUUUUAGUAUUAUUGAGUUGCCUCGGCCCUUGAGCAACCUUGACUCUAAAUUAAAAAAACAAAACAAAACAAGAAUUAAUACUAUACUCCCUCCGUCCCAUUGGAUUGUAUACAGUUUCCUUUUUGGGACGUCCCACCAAUUGUAUACAUACCAAAAAUAGUAAGUUUUUAUAAUAUAAAAACUUAACUACACCCACUACCUUCUUCCACUACACCCACUUUAUACAUUAAAUAUUAGUAGGUCCCACAAUUUUACUCCCACUACACUCAUUUUACCCAUUAAAUAUUAAUGGGUCCCACCACUUCACCAACUUUUCUUACUUUUCAUCACUAAAUUACACUUUUUCUUAACCUCCGUGCCCCUCC